rnacentral:rRNA from 1 species
ACUCCUACGGGAGGCAGCAGUGGGGAAUAUUGCACAAUGGGGAAACCCUGAUGCAGCAACGCCGCGUGAGCGAUGAAGGCCUCGGUCGUAAGACUCUGUCCUCAAGGAAGAAUAAAUAGACGGUACUUGAGGAGGAAGCCCGGCCUAACUACGUGCCAGCAGCCGCGGUAAUACGUAGGGGCGAAGCGUUAUCCGGAAUCACUGGGCGUAAAGGGUGCGUAGGCGGUUUUCUAAGUCAGAAGUGAAAGGCUAUGGCUCAACCAUAGUAAGCUUUUGAAACUGUUAAACUUGAGUGCAGGAGAGGAAAGUGGAAUUCCUAGUGUAGAGGUGAAAUUCGUAGAUAUUAGGAGGAACACCAGUGGCGAAGGCGACUUUCUGGACUGUAACUGACGCUGAGGCACGAAAGCGUGGGGAGCGGAACAGGAUUAGAUACCCUGGUAGCACAGAG